UGGGGAAUAUUGGACAAUGGGCGAAAGCCUGAUCCAGCCAUGCCGCGUGUGUGAAGAAGGUCUUCGGAUUGUAAAGCACUUUAAGUUGGGAGGAAGGGCAGUAAGCGAAUACCUUGCUGUUUUGACGUUACCGACAGAAUAAGCACCGGCUAACUCUGUGCCAGCAGCCGCGGUAAUACAGAGGGUGCAAGCGUUAAUCGGAAUUACUGGGCGUAAAGCGCGCGUAGGUGGUUCGUUAAGUUGAAUGUGAAAGCCCCGGGCGCAACCUGGGAACUGCAUCCAAUACUGGCGAGCUAGAGUAGGGCAGAGGGUGGUAGAAUUUCCUGUGUAGCGGUGAAAUGCGUAGAUAUAGGAAGGAACACCAGUGGCGAAGGCGACCCCCUGGGCUCAUACUGACACUGAGGUGCGAAAGCGUGGGGAGCAAACAGG
rnacentral:rRNA from 1 species